rnacentral:rRNA from 1 species
UACGUAUGGUGCAAGCGUUAUCCGGAUUUACUGGGUGUAAAGGGAGCGCAGGCGGCGCGGCAAGUCUGGUGUGAAAGCCCGGGGCCCAACCCCGGGACUGCACUGGAAACUGCCGUGCUGGAGUGUCGGAGGGGUAAGCGGAAUUCCUGGUGUAGCGGUGAAAUGCGUAGAUAUCAGGAGGAACACCGGUGGCGAAGGCGGCUUACUGGACGAUGACUGACGCUGAGGCUCGAAAGCGUGGGGAGCAAACAGG